ACAAAAAGCUUUCAUAAUUUCAAAUUUAGUAUGUUUGAAAUAUUUCAUGAUAAAAUUUGUUUGAACAUCCCCCAUCUGGACUAUUAUGCAGACAUUUAAAAUUAUAUUUAUAGGUCUUGAUUAUAUUAUUAUACCAUUCUCUUUACAUUUUUUAUGUUUGAGAUUUUCACAAUAAAUUUUUAAAAAAUAUGUGGUUACCAAAUCUAUAUAAGAACAUAAAGAAGUUUAUAAUGUUAGGUGAAAAAGCGUGUAGUAAUUGUGAGUAAUGCUCACUUAUGUUUCCAGUCCUUCCUAAGCACUUCCUUAGAGUUAGGCAUGGCCCUAUGACUUGCUUUGCUCAAUUAAAAGUGAGUGGAAAUGAUGUAUGUUGCUUCCAGAUGGAAGUCUUUAACAGCCAUAGUAUUAUUCACCGUUUUUUCUCUCCCCUUUUACAGGACUGAUGAUGUUCAGAUGGUCAACACUCCAUCAGCCUGAGUCCCAGAGUCAGUACCAGAUGGUGCAGAGGCCCUAAUGACCUGAGAUGGGCAUGUAACACAAGUGGGAAAUCAACCUUUACUCUUCUAAGCCACUGAGGUUUGUGGGUUGUUUGUUGCUGCAGCAUAAAAUAACCCAUUCUGACUGAUACAAAGCAGGAGGGAGCUCCUGGCAGUAUAGAUAACUAGAUACUUUGAAGGCCUUCCAACUACAGAAGAACUGGAUCACUUUGUAAAUGCACGACUUGGCUUGUAAGUUGAAGGAAAUUGUCUAGGGAUAGCCCUUCUCCCAAAAAGUGAACUAAAACCACAACUUGGAGCCAAGAGUACUAAGAAGAUAAGAAAAUUGGGUUGUCCUAAGGGCCAGUGCCUUAUUAGCCCUGUGUGAAGCUCCAUCGCAUCAGAAGGUGGGGACACCAAGGUUCUGAGACUUCUGCAUUAGGCCAGGACACUCCGAGAGGGAAAAGCCUCUCAGGAAGAAAGGGUGGAAGAGGAGCUCCCAGGCCUGGCUUAUGAGUGUGGCCUUGAACACGUCCACAGACGUGUUGUUGUCCUGUUGAGUCUGCAGCCAGGAAGGCGGAACUCACUGCAGAGGGCAGGUGUGAACGUGCCACUUCAGAGCCAGUGCUCUUUGAAGACGGAAAGUCAAGGACCCCAGUCCCUUCCAGGAAACAAGGACAUAAUUAUCACAACACCCAACUGGCCGGUGACCUUCAUUCCUCAGGCCCGCCCUACUCCCUCUGCUGGCACCAGCCCAGGUCCCCACAGCCUGAGCCCUGUGUCCAGACUGCUGAGAUCCAGAAGCAGCCCCCUUGCACACCCUUUGAAAGGGUUCUUAAUCUCUUUCUACUACGCUGCUCUCCCAACAUAAAUCCGCCAGCCUAGGGGCCUCUGAACCCCCGCGAAGGGAGGCCCAUCCAGGCCAGAAGUCUGAGCCGCGGAGGCGUGGAAUUUAUGCUUCCUCUCACCUGCGUGUCUGUCUGUGGCCCCGACUCCAGUCUGUUGUUGGAGGUUUGAACAUAACCUCCCAGCUCCUUGCCAAGUCUGCCAUCAUCACCUCAGCCACAGAAGCUGACUCCUCAAGGCCACUGGAAGCCACUUCAUUAUUAUGUUUGAAAUGUUGAAAGCAGGAGCCUAAUAAAAUGAGUUCAGAAAAACA
rnacentral:lncRNA from 1 species